rnacentral:lncRNA from 1 species
AAAAACCGAUUCUUCUGCUUUUCUUUACUUUCCUCUCAUUUCUCUUCUUCCCCUUCCAUUCUCAAUCCGGUUCUCGUCUCCAGUCAAUCCUUCGUUGAUUUUCAGCAUACCCUGGGACCCUUAUUUCCAGGUACAUCUCUUCCUUUCUUUUUAGAGUUUUUAUUGCCAAUGUAUGCGCAAGGGCGUUUGCAGAUCUUAGUAUAUGUUUGAAUAUGAAACUUCUAGAUAUAUUUAAUUUCUGUUGAAUAUCGUAUAUAUAUGCUCCAAUAUGUGAACGAUCUUGACUUUUUGUUACACAUUUCUUGAUUAUUCUGAGAGAGCCUCCUUUUAUUAUAACCUUCGGCCAUUCCUAUUCCACUCCUACUUGGACCGCUUUCCUACAUGUGAUUGCUUCAGCUGCAAAUGCGAAAGUUACCCCAUGAUGGAUCUCUAAGCAGAAAGUAAGACAACCCAUUCUUCGUUUCUGACAACAAUCCCUGAGGCAGAUUGGUGGUGAUUCGCAUCAUACGCACCAUCAAAAUUAAUUUUUACGAAUUCAUUAG